rnacentral:rRNA from 1 species
UACAGGGGGCGCAAACGUUGCUCGGAAUUAUUGGGCGUAAAGCGCGCGUAGGCGGCUACUUAAGUCGGAUGUGAAAGCCCUUGGCUCAACUGAGGAAGUGCACCCGAAACUGAGUGGCUUGAGUACUAAAGAGGGUCGCGGAAUUCCCGGUGUAGAGGUGAAAUUCGUAGAUAUCGGGAGGAACACCGGUGGCGAAGGCGGCGACCUGGGUAGAUACUGACGCUGAGACGCGAAAGCGUGGGGAGCAAACAGG